rnacentral:lncRNA from 1 species
UUACGAGCCACGUUAUAAAACACGUCUAACUCAGCCUACAACCAUGAAGGAAAAGACAACAGUUUUUAGAACACAACUAAAACAGAGCUGCUAAAUCUCGAAGACAUCAGUAGCAGUGGAGAUCUUGGGUUUGAAGUUCUUCAGCCAGCUUCUAACUGCCUCCAGUACCUGCCACACGCGCUCCUUGUCUUUCUCCUUCAAAAGGAUACUCCAUCACUGCAAGAAUGAUAUCGCCACAUAUUUCACAUCAGUUGGUAUUUUAACAAAAGUUUUCUCAAUUGCCAUCUUGUUUCGCGUAAUCCAUAAUGCCCAGGCAAAACCCGUGAAAAAAAACAUCACCAACCGCUUAGGUAAAGGCCCCGUGCCACAUAACCAAGUCAUAGACAUAUCUUCUAUGGAUCUAGGAACAGAUUCUAGUUCAAAGAUAUCUUGUAAAAUCCCCCAAACUAACCGAGCCAAGUGACAAUCAAAUAACAAAUGAUUGAUGGUUUCAACAGUGUCACAAACACAACAAUUUAAAUCACCCUUCCAACCUCUCUUUAUGAGAUUACCAGCCACCUGGAGUUUAUUGUGGAAAACUUGCCAAAGAAAAAACUUGACUUUCAAAGGAAUUUUGCAUUUCCAAAUAACUCCAGCAACUCUGCUAGGCAUACCCCGAUCUGUUUGGAACCUAUAAAUAGAUUUCGUAGAGUACUGACCCUUUGUCUCUAAAGCCCAGGAAACCACAUCAGAUUCUUUGGUCUGCAAGCAAAACCCCCGUAAAGAGUUAGAAAGAUCUACCCAAUUGUUAUACUCUUAAGUGGUUAAGGAACGCCUAAAAUCCAUAACCCAUUCCCCUUCAUCCUAGCAAUCCGAGACAGAACAGCCAGGAUCUCUCACCAUUCUGAAAAGGGGUUCAUGGCUAACAGCUAGAGGAACCUCCCCGGUCCAGCAAUCUUCCCAGAACUUGCAGUGAUUCCCAUUUCUUACCAUAAAAACAACACCCCAUUUAAAGAGAUUUUUCACUUUAUGUAGCCCUUGCCAGAAUUGGGAGACCCCUUUUGUUUUAGAUUUAAAGAAACCCCCCACACCAAUAUAUUUAGCUUUGACAAUUUUGAACCAAAGAUCCUCAGGUUCUGAAAAUUCUUCGAGAUCCACUUAACUAAUAGGCAAUCAUUCAUAAUUCUAGUAUUUAUAAUCCCUAGACCUCCUUGGUCCUUUGGUCUACACACCAUUUCCCAUUUGGCCAUGUGGUAUUUAAAUUUGUCCUCGGCUCCUUGCCAAAGGAAUUUAGCCCUAAUGCUAUCCAUUUUCUUGUGAAUCCCAUCCAUGAGCCAGUAGAAGCCCAUACAAUAAAGAGGAAUACUGCUUAGACAAGAAUUAGUUAAAAUCUGUUUCCCCCCAGAGGUCAAAAAUUUCCCUUUCCAUGGAUCAAGUUUAGACAUCAUCUUUUGUGGAAGAAAGCUAAAGGCCCCCAUGGCUAAGUGGUGAUCACUGAUAGGAAUCCCUAAAUAUUUCAUAGGAAGUUCCCCAAGAACACAAUUCAACAUAUUGGUCAUUUCUUCUUUCUCUCCCUUAGAAACUCCAAACCCAUACACCUCACUCUUGUGGUAAUUAAUUUUCAUGCCAGUCAACCAUUCAAAGCAGUACAAAAUUAAUUUUAGGUUACUAAUAGAAGUAACAGACCCAUCAAUCAUGAUUACUGUGUCAUCCGCGUACUGGAUAUGAGUAAUUCCCCCCGGGAUGAGGUGUUCAAGGACUCCUCUGAUGUGUACCUUUUUUGAAGCCUUAUCAAGAAACACUCCUAAGACAUUAGCUACCAUGUUAAACAGAAGAGGAGAAAGUGGAUCCCCUUGUCUUAAACCUCUGAAAGUUUUAAAAUAGGGACUCCUUUCCCCAUUAACAAUGAUGCAAACUUUCCCAUCUUUCACUGUACUCAUAACCCAGGAAAUCCAAAGAGCCGGAAAUCCUUGGCCCACCAAAACCUGUUCUAAAAAACUCCAUCUCACUCUAUCAUAAGCCUUUUCAAAAUCCAACUUUAGAAUAAGGCCUUUCCCCUUAGAAUGAUGCAGUUCAUGAAUCACCUCAUGUAAAACCACUACACCAUCUAAAAUAUUCCUCCCUUUUAUGAACCCAGUUUGAUUCUUACUAAUAAUUUUUCUAGCCACCGGAACUAAUCUGUUAGUCCGGGCUUUAGUAAAGCAUUUGAAAUAAACAUUCAGGAGGCAAAUGGGUCUAAACUGUUUGACAUUAUUAGCUUCUUUAUUCUUGGGAACCAAAGUAAUCACCCCAUAGUUAAGCCUUUUGAUAUCUAACUUUCCUUCAAAAAAGUCUAAGAACAUCAAUUUCAUUUCAUCUUUUAUUUGGUCCCAAAAUUUCUUAAAGAACACUACCCCAUAUCCAUUAGCAGAAUUUUCUUUCAUAUCCAUGACCACCUGCCUAAUCUCCUCCAUGGAAAAAGGUCUGAUUAACUCUGCUCCUUCUAAAUGGGACACUUUUAUUUCCUCAGGCCAAAACUCAGGGUUGAGAAACAUGCUACAAGGCUCAUUAUGUCCAAAAAGUUCCUUGUAAAAAUCCACAAUGUGGGCAGAGAUGGCAUUUUGCCCUCUAAACUCCUCACUACCAUUUUCCAGAAAAAUGAUUGUUUUCUUCCUCCUUCUGCCAUUAACAAAUUGGUGAAAGAACUGGGUAUUUGCAUCCCCAUGCAAAAUCCAGUUAUUACUCACUUUUUGUUUCCACUGAAGUUCCUCAAUUAUGCUCAUUUUAUCCAAACCCUUUUCUAACCCAAUCCUUUCUUCCCAUUCAUCAUUGCUCAACAGCCUAGAUUCAGCAAUAAUGUCAAUUUCUUCUAUUCUGUCAGUAUAGUUUUUCCUCAUCUUCUUAUUAUCCUCAGAAAUCCUUAAACUCCAACCCCUUAAGUAAUGUCUCAAAGCCUGAAGGCACCCAUGCCAUAUAUCCAGGGAGUAUGCAGAGUCUCUAUGUAUACUUUUAAACUCCCCCCAUUUAGAUUUAAUCAAAUCAGAAAAACCCUCCUGGUGAAUCCACUUUUCUUCAAAAAAGAAAUAUUUAGAUUUAGAGGCUCCUUCCUCCCCAGUAUCAAUUAUAAGAGGAGAGUGGUCAGACCCUAUCCCGGCUUUAGCCCAAGCAAAACUAUGAUGAUAAUUUGAAUCCCAACUAGUUGUAGCAAGAAUCCUAUCUAAUUUUACCAAGGUAGGAUUUUUCUGUUUGUUCGACCAAGUGAAUUUAACCCUACUCACAAAAAUUUCUCUAAGAUGAAAACAGCCUAUGAAAUUAUUAAAGAUAUCCAUGAGUUUAGGAUCCCCUUGACCCUUGUUCCUGUCCUUGUUACUUCUAAUGAGAUUAAAAUCUCCACCCAUUAGGAUAGGGAAACUUUCUUUGGAGCAGAAAUCAGAAAGUUCUAAAAUAAAAUCCAUAGACAGCUCAUGUUGAGUAGGACCAUACACAUUUAAAAUCCAAAACCUGAAAUUGGUUAAUCUGUUUCUGAUCAAACAGCCAAUGAAAUAACCAGCUACUUCGACUUGUUCUAUCUCAAAACUCUCUAAUUUCACCCCCCAACAACAAACCACCCGAAUGACAUUUUGCUGGAUUCCAUUUCCAAGCAAAGUCAAACGUGCCAGAUAUAUCCUUCAGCUCUUGGUCAUUAAAAUCCUGCCUAAUAGUCUCUUGAAUGCCCACUAUAUCUAGAUUCUCCUGAAUAACGUGUUUCAAAACAAGCCCCCUUAUGUGAGCAGUACCCAGCCCCCUAACAUUCCAAAACAUGCAUCUCAUUUUGGAGGAUUAGAUGAUUUUACCACCAAUGAACUCCCCUGGCCAUUACUAUCUAAACCAACCUUGGCUUGAUCAGCUAUGACCCCUCUUUCCUUAUUAUCAAUAGCCUCCAUUGCUAAAUCUUCCACUUGUGAACCAGAAUGAGGCCCAUGCCUCUCUUUCCGUUUUCCAAAAAAACUUUGAAAUUAGCCUCAGCAAUAGCUGCCCUAGCAAGCUCUUCCACCCUAAACACAUCUAUUUGUUGCUCCAUAUUAUCCAGCUCUAUAUCUAAGUCUACGAUUACUUUCUCUAAACAGGCAGUAGGAGUGUUGUUAAGUACUGUAAAUUGAUUAGAAACAGAGUUAUUACCUGAUAUGGAAUUCUUGGCCGCAGCCCUGUUCGCAGCCUUGGUAGCAAUAGGAAUGUCGUCCCUUGGCAUCCUGCUGCUAGCCCUGGUAGCCACCAUCACCUUCCUAUUCUUCGUUUUGCUCUUCCUGAUAUUUGGAGACUGCCACCCUUGACAAUUGCCUUCCAUAUCAGAAUUUUUGCUUUGAUCAGGCACAAGGUCCAUGAAAUUUUCCUCAUCAAGCUUCUCUUCUUGAGUUAGCACCCCCAAUCCUUCUUGAUCAUGUAGCUCUUGCUCAGUACUUAACUUCAAUUUUGGCCACUUGUUCUUGUCCAUCCAGAAAGGACCAUCUACACCAUUCACAAUAGUAUGUUUCUCAGGAUUAAAACCACCUUUGUUUUUGCUGACAGCAGAUGUAACCCCAUUGCUACUUGCCUAUCCCAGAUCACUUUUAUCCACACUGUUACCAUCAGACUGAACACCUAAAUUGUUUUGGAUGACUUUAUCCAUUCAAUCAGGAAUCCCAUCCACUGUUAAGUGACCAAUUUCAGGAUGAAAUGCAGCAAUAGGAGAGACCAAAAUUUCUUUGUCUAUUUUUCACUAUUGCUCACCAAUUCCUUUCCCAAGUAGUCUUCCAUAGAAUCAUCAUGAUUUGAGUCCAUUUCUUUAUCUAUAUUACCAAACCUCUGAAACUUGUCAUUCCCUCUUUUCUUUUCUCCUUGAUGAGCAUUAUCUGGAUCUUUAUCAGGAGGACCACCAUGUCUUCCUACAUGACCAGAUGGGCCUCCCUUACCCCUUUGAUGAGACCUUUUUGAUCUUUCACGGCAAAACCUAUAUUUAUGCUAGAUCCAUUAAAGAAGACUUCAAUAGACCCCUUAAUCAAAGAUGGGUUUCUGCAUCUCCCCUGAACUCUCACUGGAUCAACCUUGAUCAGACUAACCUCAUCCACUGCAAUGGGCUCAACCACUAACAUAGCAAUCUCCUUAACUGAUUCUACAUCUUUAGCACAAGUAGGUAUAUUAGAUAUCUGAACCCAAACUGUGUGUAGUAUAGAUGAGGAUUCUGGAUCUACAUUAGCAACCUCAAUUACCCCUUUCAAUCCAAAUAAAGGCAUUUCAAAUUCAGACAACUUGUGAAAUAUCCCCAAAGUGUUCUUAUCACGAAACACCACCAUAUAUUCUUGCUUUUCUGUUUGCUUUACUCUAAAGUCCUAGUCCCCCCUAACUAGGUUCUUCAACUCUUGGUCAAUUUUAUCCUCUGAUGCAUUCCCUUCCAGCACAGUAAUAAAACCAGUAGCCUGAUUAAUCUUGACUUUGGUCUCUAGGAUAUCAAUGCUGUAGAAACCUUGUCCAGGAAUUCCAAACCCACAUAUCAUGAGCUUCUUGUUGAUUCUACAAUCGACUGCCAUAUGCCCUUUCUGUUUACACUUGUAACACAUAGGGUUCAUUCUCACACUCCAAUUGAUGAUGUCCAGUCCCCAAGCAUCUGAAGCAUCUCACCUCCGGAAAGGAACCAGAUCAAGAACCGUCAGAUAGAGGUGUACCUCCAAAUCUCUCUGUUGGCCGACGAUCCUCUCUCUUCCACCCCUGUUGGAUCCAGUUGCCUUGUUGACUGUGUGACUAGCCCCCUUGCUGCCCCUGUGGUCUGCCCUGUUCCCAACGACCUGAACUGACAUUUCUACCUCCUCCAAACCUCUCCAUCUCUCGAAGCCAACUUGAUUUGGCUCCACUUGAUUUCUGCCACCCCUCUGGAUUUGAGACCUCAGAUCUUGAGCUUGUCCAAGAUCUCCUCCUAGAAGAUCAUCCUCCUCCGUCCACUCAUCUUGAUGCCGCUUCCCCAACUGGUGAUUUGGUUGGGCCAUCAAACAAGGUUUCACAGCUGCCGCAUAUGUUUUGGUGAGUUUGGGGGGAGGUUUGGUGGGAUAUACUUUACGAGCAGAAUGACCGAAGUGUCCUAUCUCCUCCUUACUGGCUGGGUAGGUACAGUCCAACUUGAGACACCCCCUGGGUAUCCAAACCCAGCCCAGCCCAGGUCCUUUCUUGGUCCAUGGAUGGUCAAAGCGGGAAUCCACCGAAUUCGAAUUUGAAGACCUUCUUCUCCAACACAACUCCCCCUCCCUGAAUUCUCAGAUCCCCCUUUGUUAGCAUCAAAACUCAACAUCCUCUCAAUGGAUUCCUCCAACUGUUCCAAAGCAAUCCCCAAAUCUCUCAGAUCCAAAACACAAGUUGGUUCAGAGAAUAAUUGGUCCUUGAUUUCCUUUUCAAACUGCAAGCGAAGACUCUGCUGACCCCCCAUCGUUGUGGGACGAUAUCCAGAUGCAUCCAUGCACCAUUCACUGAAUUUUUGAGGAAUCAUGGUCAACCGCUGCUGGGCUCCCCUGCCCACUCAGAGACCUUCCCCAAUCGACGGCCAUUUCUCCGUCUGCAGAAAACUCAGCGUCCCCUCUAGACCCACAUCCCCCACAGCUAUCGACCAUUCCCGCUCGCCCGAGGAAGGGGAAAAGUUUGCUAGAGAUAGUACCUUCUCAGGUGAGGAGUCUCAUGAUCCCCCAGGAGCACACGCUGGCAUGAUCACCGGAGGAGUCGUCGCCCAUGGAGACUUCCUCAACGCGACGUUGUUCAACAUCCGUCACCGCCGACGCACCGCGAUGGCCACCUCCUCCACGGCCACGAAGCCUCCUCGCCGCCGUCCCGUCCCCGCUGUCAAACGACCUAGGACACCCAGGCCGAUCUCCGUUGCUCCCGACGAACCUCUCCGGCUUGAACUCUUCCGGUGCGUCCCGACGAUGUUGUACUCGUUCAAUUAGUUUGCCCUGAUCUUGUUAUCAACGCCUGCACUACCCUUCGUUGACGAAAUGUAGCAAAUUCUCUUUGCCAUUUGUGUUUUUUCUUUCUGUGUGAGACACCCAUAAGAGAACGGCAUGACAAGCCUUAUCUAUUACCUAACUAAUGGUACGGUCAAUGCCAAGUUUUUUCCGU